rnacentral:rRNA from 1 species
UACGUAGGGUGCAAGCGUUGUCCGGAAUUAUUGGGCGUAAAGAGCUCGUAGGCGGUUUGUCGCGUCUGGUGUGAAAAUCCAGGGCUUAACCCUGGACCUGCAUCGGGUACGGGCAGACUAGAGUGCGGUAGGGGAGAUCGGAAUUCCUGGUGUAGCGGUGAAAUGCGCAGAUAUCAGGAGGAACACCGGUGGCGAAGGCGGAUCUCUGGGCCGUAACUGACGCUGAGGAGCGAAAGCAUGGGGAGCGAACGGG